UUCGUGCCAUGGGCUCCAGGCUGCUCUGUUGGGUGCUGCUUUGUCUCCCGGGAGCAGGCCUGGGAGAGGCUGGAGUCACCCAAACUCCAAGAUACCUGAUCAAGAUGAGAGGACAGCAAGUAACACUGAGGUGCUCCCCUAUCUCUGGGCAUAACAGUGUGUUCUGGUACCAACAGGCCCCAGGACAGGGCCCUCAGUUCCUCUUCAACUACUACAAUGAGAUGCAGAGACAAAAAGGAAACUUCCCUGAACAGAUUCUCAGGGCACCAGUUCUCUAACCACAGCUCUGAGAUGAAUGUGAGCGCCUUGGAGCUGGGGGACUCGGCCCUUUAUCUUUGUGCCAGCAGCUUGGGGGGAGGAGAAGCUUUCUUUGGAGAAGGCACCAAACUCACAGUUGUAGAUGACCUGAGCAAGGUGUUCCCACCCACGGUCGCUGUGUUUGAGCCAUCAGAAACAGAGAUCUCCCGCACCCAAAAGGCCACGCUGGUGUGCCUGGCCACAGGCUUCUACCCUGACCACGUGGAGCUGAGCUGGUGGGUGAACGGGAAGGAGGUGCACAGUGGGGUCAGCACGGACCCGCAGCCCCUCAAGGAGCAGCCCGCCCUCAAUGACUCCAAAUACUGCCUGAGCAGCCGCCUGAGGGUCUCGGCCACCUUCUGGCACAACCCCCGCAACCACUUCCGCUGCCAAGUCCAGUUCUACGGGCUCUCGGAGGACGACGAGUGGACCCAGCCAAGGGCCAAACCCAUCGACCAGAAUGUCAGCGCUGAGGCCUGGGGCAGAGCAGACUGUGGCUUCACCUCGGUGUCCUACCAGCAAGGGGUCCUGUCUGCCACUGUCCUUUAUGAGAUCCUGCUGGGGAAGGCCACCCUGUAUGCUGUGCUGGUCAGUGCCCUCGUGCUGAUGGCCAUGCUCAAGAGAAAGGAUUUCUGAAGUCAGCUCUGGAAGUGGAGUUAGGAGCUUCUAACCUGUCGUGGUUUCAAUACACAUUCUUCUUUCGCCAGCGCUUCUGAAGAGCUGCUCUUGCCCCUCUGUGCAGCUCAAUAUCUGUCCCCUAUAUGCAUGUACACCUGCACACUCAGGGCUGAAAUCUCCCUAACCCAGGGGGACUCUAGCAUCCCUAAGUGACUGAACCAAUAAAAAUGUUCUGCUCUGGCCUGAC